AUGUAGCGAGCUGAGUGGGGAGGAGAGAGGGACAGAGAGCCUGCUUGCUUUAAAGGAGCCAACCGGACAGGAGCCGCUUACACUCAUGUAAACGGCUCCUCUCCUCUCCUGCUUUGCUCCUUUAAAGAAGCAGGCUCUCUGUCCCUCUCUCCUCCCCACUCAGCGGCUCUUCUC
rnacentral:miRNA from 1 species